rnacentral:lncRNA from 1 species
GUGAACAGUGUGUGUGUGUAGGGAGGUGUGAGGGAUGAUGGAAAAUUAUACCUUUUACUGAUGACUCUGCAGUAGGACUUCAGAAGACAUCUCACUAUUUGACCUGUGCAGUUUGUGAUUUUUCUGUCUGAUACGUGACUUCAAAGCUUCCUGCUUCUUUCUCUGAUCUUUAACGCCCAAUCUCAACUUUACUCCUGAAUAAAAGCAACAGAAUUUUUUUAAAAAACACCACUAAGCAUCAGAUGGACUUGUGUCUGUCUAAGCUUAGGAAAGAACCAGGACAAACUAAGC